GGGGAUAUGGCGGAACUGGUAGACGCGCACGUUUGAGGGGCGUGUGGAGCAAUCCGUGAGAGUUCGAGUCUCUCUAUCCCCACCA
rnacentral:tRNA from 1 species